GGCGACGGGCCAGACGGGGCCGCCGGACCGACGCUGCCCGGCCCUGCCCGGCCCUGACCGAGCCACCACCACCGCCGCCGUAUGAGCUCAACUUAGAGCUCUGACAAGGUCUUGGCCUCUGACGGGCUGCUCCUCACUGGUUCUCUGCGAGGAGCUGGCAAAGGGAUGAAGAGGCAGAGUAUUUCCUCAGCAAGUUUGCUGAUGGCGCAAAGCUGGGAGGAGUGGCCGAUAUCCCAGAGGGCUGUGCAGCCCUUCGGAAAGAUCUCGACGGCUUGAAGAGAGGGUCAGAGAAGAACUGUUUGGAAUUCAACAAAGGCAAAUUGCUCCCUGCACGUGGGGAGGAACCACCCUGGCACCAGCACAGGCUGGGGCUGACCUGCGGGGGAGAAGCUCUGCCGAGAAGGACCUGGAUGUCCUGGUGGACACGAGCUGUCCCUGAGCCAGCAGUGUGUCCUUGGGGACAAGGCCGGUGCUGUCCAGGGAUGCACAAGGAGGAGCAUUGCCAGCAGGUCUAGGGAGGUUGUUCUGCCCCUCUACUCAGCCCUGGGGCCUUGGACUGAACGAUGUUUACAGCAGUCCAGAUGUGAAGCCUGUCACAGGAACAAGAAUUUCAUCUACAGUUGCUGAAUUUUUCAAAGUGAAGGAAAAAGGACAUUACAUAGAUGAGAAUCUUACCUUCUCUUGCAAAGGCCAGCUGCCAGAAUGAUGGUGCUUCUUAGGGAUAACAUUGGGACAUUUAAAUGAACUGUCUGUGAAAAUUGUAACAUAAUUUAUAAGGACAAGAAGUAAAACUGGAUAUAUUGUUGUUACUUGCAUGUCAAAUGGAAAUUGGACAUUUCGUAUCCCAUCGGAUUUCUAGCAUAUUGAUAAACUACAAGAUGAAAGGAAAGCACAAGACUGAUGGCUGAGUUGGAUGCACCUAUUCAUAAGUGAUGUUUGUUCCUAGUGGCAAGGAACUAAUAUAUAUUUACUUUGCUUAUUUGUGUUUGAGUGUGCAUGUUACUACUGCUUGUUUUGUUGACAAAUACUGCUAAAAGCUGUGGUAUUUAGAUUCCAAUAAGGUGCAAAAACUAGAUCUUUAAGGGCAACUUAAAAUACACUUUUUCUCCAGGGAUAUUAAUUAUCCAGAUUUAUGAUGUAUAUAAUUUAUAAAAGUACAUAUGUAUGAAAUGCUUUAACUACACUGUUCAUGGAAGUUUAUAAUUAUAGCAUACCAUGAAUACCUAAGUUCUUGAAUGCUA